AAUUCCAAAAAAGUCCUUGGGCCAUUGUCCAUAUUCUGUGGGAGAAAGGUGGGUCAGCAUUCUCGAUAGCUUCACGGGCUUCAAUGUCCAUUGGAUUAGACUAAUUUAUUGGUUCAUUUUCAAGGGAUUGGAUGAGUCUUGGGGACAUGCAGUUCACAUGAGGAAGAGUCAGGGGCUGGUAAUUAUUUAUCUCACAGAGAUGUUCAGCCAGUUGUCUUCUUAGGGUUCCCAUUGCAUCCUUUUCCAGGAUUGAUCCAUUAUAAGUUCUCCACUCAGAUUCAGAAUUUUGAGACCAGAGGA
rnacentral:misc_RNA from 1 species